CAUGCUGCCAAUAAAAUUACAGACAAACAUGUCUACUUUGAGAACCACAAGAUGAGGGUGUCCCUGGCUGCACAGACACUGAGUCGCUCCGUGUCAGUGGCUCUCCGCGCAAUGAGGGAUCUUGGGUACUUUCAGUUUAAGGACUGUGAGGCAACGGCAGAAUUCAUUGAGAUUAUUGACAGGCUCUUUGAUACAAUGAAUGAAUCCUCGUGCCAAAGGAUUCAAAGCUCCCUUGGGUGCUCUGAAUUGGAUGGAGAGGAAAGCAUUUUUGUCAAGAGCCAGGGAGUACUUGCUCACUUUGGUGACAAAAGAUGGAACACCCCUUCACCGAUCUAAGAGGUCUAUUAUAUUAGUGCUUGUUGAGUUCAUGACAUGAGUUCAACGAUACUCUGUUCCCCCUAUGCAUCAAGUUCCUAAGAUGCUCCGUUCUGUUAUGCAUCAAGUUCCUAAGAUGCUCCGUUCUGUUAUGCAUCGAGUUCCUAAGAUGCUCCAGUUCUGUUAUGCAUCGAGUUCCUAAGAUGCUCCAGUUCUGUUAUGCAUCGAGUUCCUAAGAUGCUCCAGUUCCUAAGAUGCUCCGUUCUGUUAUGCAUCGAGUUCCUAAGAUGCUCCUAACUAAGUUUUGUUUAUGUCUGAAUUAUCUUGUAUUCAGUGUGUUUUUCAGGUCCUAGAUGCUAUCUUGUCCUAUGUCCUAUGAUGUUAUCUUGUUUAAAUGUUUUUCAAUAUGCAGUUUUGUUUUUGUUGGAAUUAUCUUGUAUUCAGUGUGUUUCAGGUCCUAGAUGUUUCUAAAUGGUAUGUAUUACACAACAUCAAGUACAUGUAGGUGUCAAAAUGGUAGGUAUUGGUAGGUAUUGCAUGUGUUCCCAAGUUCUCCCAGUUCUGCAAUUACAUUGUUCCAAGUUAUUGUUCCAUUGUUUACAAGUAUACUGUAUAAGUUAAACAAGAAACUGAUCCCAUUCCUAAAAACAUGGAUGCAAACUAAUUAUCUAUCCGCCCGGGUAGCUGUUUACCAUUUUCAUUCUCUGUGAGUUUGCACUCCUGUGAUAGGCACUCAAGAAUGGGUGAUUACACAUUACCGAUGGACGUGAUGGAAAAUUUACUUUACUGCUUUGAAUGAACAAAAUCACAUGGUGCUUUCUUGGGGUGUCUUGUUUCGCCGUGAUCAGAGUAAUAAAACUUUUUUUCUUUUGCAGGUACUUGUCGGUCAUCGGAUUUGUCAUCAAUAUUGACACGUUGAUGCUGAUGAUUCCUGAACUGCUUCAAGUUCAGCGGUAUGUGCUCACCUACAGCUUCAGCCAGGAUCACUUGGAGCUCCUAUUUAAUUCAAUCAGAGCAUCAGGUGGCUGAAAUAACAAUCCAUCGGCACGCCAGUUCCAGGCCAUUUUCCGCCGUCUGAUGGUUCGGUGUGGUGUCUCACCUGGUGAGACGGGCAAUGUGGCAGCCCAAGAUAACACUGUGUCCCUGUCUGCUGUGGAAUGUCCUCUCCUGAAACUGCUGAAGAACACCCAUCUCCUUUCGCCAACAUUUCGGCCCUUGUGUGUGACCCCAGUUAUCUCCCCACUCGGUUUGGUGGUCUGGUGGAAAAUGCUCUGGUCUACAUAGCAGGGUUUGUAGUCUGGCAGAUUCUACGAAAGCUGUCCUGUGAUGUGUGCCGUGCGAGCUUGGUCAGAGAUGCUGUACCAUCUUCAUUUGACAAGAGCUACCACCUUCUAACCCUGAAAAACAA